UUCGCGAAGAAGUGGCACAAAAGAUUUUAAUUUUUUGAAACAAAAAAAGACAGUUGUAAAGAUAUAAAAUAACAAUAUAAUAACGUCUAUGAUUUACAUUACAAUACAUAACGGCGUCGUCAAUGUCAGCAACGUCAGGAAAAUGUCAUUUUCCACGACACGCGAUAAGAUACCUCUGACAAGGAAAGCCAGUUGCGAGCGGUUUUAGUUCACGAGAGAUACACGUGUUUUUUUAUACACGACUGAAUACGUAACCAGCCGGCCCCGUAUUAUCGAUAACUAUCGACAUCCGUUUAUUAUUUAGUAUACGAGUUUUUAAUAUUCCAUUUUUGCAAAGCAAGAUAUCUUUCACCGUUUCGGGAUCUUUCACGAUUCGCUGAAUAAAUUAAUUUCGAUACGAA